rnacentral:rRNA from 1 species
CCCAGAUCGUUUACCGUGAAAAAAUUAGAGUGUUCAAAGCAGGCAGAUUCAAUUUUCUGCCACCGAAUACAUUAGCAUGGGAUAAUGGAAUAGGACCCUGUCCUCCUAUUUUCAGUUGGUUUUGGCAGCGCGAGGACUAGGGUAAUGAUUAAUAGGGAUAGUUGGGGGCAUUAAUAUUUAAUUGUCAGAGGUGAAAUUCUUGGAUUUAUGAAAGAUUAACUUCUGCGAAAGCAUCUGCCAAGGAACUUUUCAGUAUGCAAGAACGAAAGUUAGGGGAUCGAAGACGAUCAGAUACCGUCGUAGUCUUAACCAUAAACGAUGCCGACCAGCGAUUAGGAGACGUUGAAUACAAAACACCACCAUUGGCCGCGGUCGUCCUUGGCCGCGGGUUCGUCCUUCACGGGGCGGGUUCCGGCGGGGGCGGCUUAGCCCGAUGGCACCGGUGAAUGACUCCCCUAGCAGCUUGUGAGAA